GAUCCUGGCUCAGGAUGAACGCUAGCGACAGGCUUAACACAUGCAAGUCGAGGGGCAGCACGGGGUAGCAAUACCCCGGUGGCGACCGGCGCACGGGUGAGUAACACGUGUGCAACCAACCCCGUACCGGGAGAUAACCCGCGGAAACGUGGACCAACACCCAAUAAGACCUUUCCCCGCAUGGGGGGAGUUUAAAACCCCGGUGGUACGGGACGGGCACGCGCGACAUUAGGUAGUUGGCGGGGUAACGGCCCACCAAGCCGACGAUGUCUAGGGGUU
rnacentral:rRNA from 1 species